rnacentral:rRNA from 1 species
AUGCCGACCUCCGGCGACGCCUCGGGCGCCCUGCCCCACCCCCACGUCGUGCUCCUCCCGAGCGCCGGGAUGGGCCACCUCGUCCCGUUCAGCCGCCUCGCGGUGUCCCUCUCCUCCCCCGGCCACGGCUGCGGCGUCUCGGUCGCCACCGUGCUCCCCACCGUGUCGUCCGCCGAGUCGGCGCACCUCGACGCCCUGUUCGGCGCGUGCCCGGCCGUGCGCCGCCUCGACUUCCACCUCGCGCCGUUCGACGCAUCCGAGUUCCCCGGCGCCGACCCCUUCUUCCUCCGCUUCGAGGCCAUGCGCCGCUCCGCGCCCCUCCUCGGCCCGCUCCUCGCCGGCGCCGGCGCGUCGGCGCUCGUGACGGACAUCGCGCUGGCCUCCGUCGUCAUACCCGUCGCCAGGGACCUCCGCCUCCCCUGCUACGUCCUCUUCACCGCCUCCGCCGCGAUGCUCUCCCUGUGCGUCCACUUCCCCGCCUACCUCGACGCGAAUGCCGGCGGCCCCGUCGGCGACGUCGGCAUCCCGGGCGUGUACCGCGUCCCCAAGGCUUCCAUCCCGCAGGCGCUGCACCACCCCGAGCACCUCUUCACCCAGCAGUUCGUCGCUAACGGCCGAGAGCUCGCCAAAGCAGACGGCCUCCUGGUCAAUUCCUUCGACGCGUUCGAGCCAGAAGCCAUAGCUGCGCUCCGGAAUGGCUCCGUCGCAGCCGGGUUCCCACCGGUUUUCUCGGUUGGUCCACUCGCUCCGGUGAGCUUUUCGGCAAGUGAACCGCCGGAAAAUCAAGCUGAUUACAUGCGGUGGCUCGAGGCGCAGCCGGCGAGGUCGGUGGUGUACGUCAGCUUCGGCAGCCGGAAGGCCAUAUCCAAGGACCAGCUCAGGGAGCUCGCCGUCGGGCUCGAGGCGAGCGGCCACCGGUUCCUGUGGGUGGUGAAAAGCACCGUCGUCGACAGAGACGACGAGGCCGAGCUCAGCGAGCUGCUCGGCGAAGGGUUCUUGGAGCGUGUGCAGGGGCGGGGCAUGGUGACCAAGGGUUGGGUGGAGCAAGAAGAGGUUCUGAAGCAAGAAUCCAUCGGUCUGUUCAUCAGCCACUGCGGCUGGAACUCGGUCACGGAGGCGGCGGCGAACGGAUUGCCGGUUCUGGCAUGGCCGAGGUUCGGGGACCAGCGGGUGAACGCCGGCGUGGUGGCGCGCAGCGGGCUCGGCGUCUGGGAGGAGCGGUGGAGCUGGGAGGGGGAGGAGGGAACGGUGAGCGGGCAUAAUAUCGCGGAGAAGGUCAAGACUGUAAUGGCGGACAAGACGGUGAGGAAUAAGGCGGUAAGCGUCCAGGAUGCGGCGGCGGAGGCAGUCGCCGACGGCGGCACGAGCUACCGGAGCUUGGCCCAAUUCGUGCAACGUUGCCGGGAUCUAAGCGUCAGCAAGUAA